AACGAACGCUGGCGGCAUGCCUAACACAUGCAAGUCGAACGAGACCUUCGGGUCUAGUGGCGCACGGGUGCGUAACGCGUGGGAAUCUGCCCUAGGGUGCGGAAUAACUCGGAGAAAUCCGUGCUAAUACCGCAUAAUGUCUUCGGACCAAAGAUUUAUCGCCCUGGGAUGAGCCCGCGUAGGAUUAGCUAGUUGGUGGGGUAAAGGCCUACCAAGGCGACGAUCCUUAGCUGGUCUGAGAGGAUGAUCAGCCACACUGGGACUGAGACACGGCCCAGACUCCUACGGGAGGCAGCAGUGGGGAAUAUUGGACAAUGGGCGAAAGCCUGAUCCAGCAAUGCCGCGUGAGUGAUGAAGGCCCUAGGGUUGUAAAGCUCUUUUACCGGGAUGAUAAUGACAGUACCGGGAGAAUAAGCUCCGGCUAACUCCGUG
rnacentral:rRNA from 1 species